CGUAGAAAGGGCACCGGUAGACUCCUACACAUUAUGUAAGGUGCUCAGUGAUUGGUCACCAUGGGUAAGCUUGGUGAGGCUGAACCAAUAAGAGAGCUUCUUUCAUCUUAGUAUUAUCCUCCACAGCUGAUCACCUCGACACUCACAAGAUUAAAAAUGGCCGGUGAUUCAGGUGUAGACAGUUCCCAGUUCAAGGGUUUGUCUCGCUACUUUAAUGGAACCACAUUGGCUGGAAGAGCUAAUGUGGCAAAGGCAACAUAUGCAGUUGUGGGGCUCCUUAUUGCUUAUGCAGUGUUUAAACCUUCAAAGAAGUGAAUGUGAAAAUUUAUGCAUAUAUAUAUAUAUAUAUAAAUUAGCUCUGUCAUGUUAAUAAAUAGUACUUAGGUGU